rnacentral:rRNA from 1 species
CCCUUAGAUGUUCUGGGCCGCACGCGCGCUACACUGAUGCAUUCAACGAGCCUAUCCUUGACCGACAGGUCCGGGUAAUCUUUGAAUCUGCAUCGUGACGGGGAUAGAUUAUUGCAAUUAUUAAUCUUCAACGAGGAAUGCCUAGUAGGCGCAAGUCAUCAGCUUGCGUCGAUUACGUCCCUGCCCUUUGUACACACCGCCCGUCGCUCCUACCGAUUGGGUGUGCUGGUGAAAUGUUCGGAUCGGCCGUUUGUCGCGGUUUCCGCGGCUCGUGGCUGAGAAGUUCAUUAAACCCUCCCACCUAGAGGAAGGAGAAGGCGUAACA